UACAGAGGGUGCAAGCGUUGUUCGGAAUCAUUGGCGUAAAGCGCACGUAGGCGGUUCGUUAUGUCGGAUGUGAAAGCCCUUGGCUUAACCGAGGAAGUGCAUCCGAAACUGGCGAGCUAGAGUACUAAAGAGGAUCGCGGAAUUCCCGGUGUAGAGGUGAAAUUCGUAGAUAUCGGGAGGAACACCGGUGGCGAAGGCGGUUCUCUGGGCCUUACCUGACGCUGAGGAGCGAAAGCGUGGGGAGCGAACAGG
rnacentral:rRNA from 1 species